GUCUAUGGCCAUGCUACCUCGAACAAGCUAAUCCCAUCUGAUCUUGGAAACUAAGCCACGUUGGGCCUGGUUAGUACUUGGAUGGGAGACCACCUAUGAAGGCUAGGUGCUGUAGGUA
rnacentral:rRNA from 1 species